rnacentral:rRNA from 1 species
AAGCACUUUCGAUGAUCCUUCGGGUGAUUUGAUUGUGACUGCUUGGCGGACGGGUGAGUAACGCGUGAGUAACCUGCCUCAUACAGGGGAAUAACAGUUAGAAAUGACUGCUAAUGCCGCAUAAGCGCACAGGGCCGCAUGGCCCGGUGUGAAAAACUCCGGUGGUAUGAGAUGGACUCGCGUCUGAUUAGCUAGUUGGUGAGGUAACGGCCCACCAAGGCGACGAUCAGUAGCCGGCCUGAGAGGGUGAACGGCCACAUUGGGACUGAGACACGGCCCAAACUCCUACGAGAGGCAGCAGUGGGGAAUAUUGCACAAUGGGGGAAACCCUGAUGCAGCGACGCCGCGUGAGUGAAGAAGUAUUUCGGUAUGUAAAGCUCUAUCAGCAGGGAAGAAAAUGACGGUACCUGACUAAGAAGCCCCGGCUAACUACGUGCCAGCAGCCGCGGUAAUACGUAGGGGGCAAGCGUUAUCCGGAUUUACUGGGUGUAAAGGGAGCGUAGACGGCUUUGCAAGUCUGACGUGAAACUCCGGGGCUCAACUCCGGAACUGCGUUGGAAACUGUAAGGCUUGAGUGCCGGAGAGGUAAGCGGAAUUCCUAGUGUAGCGGUGAAAUGCGUAGAUAUUAGGAGGAACACCAGUGGCGAAGGCGGCUUACUGGACGGCAACUGACGUUGAGGCUCGAAAGCGUGGGGAGCAAACAGGAUUAGAUACCCUGGUAG